AAGUGAAAUUAUAGGGGCGCCUGGGUGGCUCAGUCGGUUGAGCGUCCGACUUCGGCUCAGGUCAUGAUCUCACAGUUCGUGGGUUCGAGCCCCACGUCGGGCUCUGCGCUGACAGCUCAGAGCCUGGAGCCUGCUUGGGAUUCUGUGUCUCCCUCUCUCUCUGCCCCUCCCCCACUCACGCUCACUCUGUCUCUCUCUCUCAAAAAUAAACAUUAAAAAAAUUAAAAAAAAAAAAAAAAAAAA